GGAAGGGAGUGUAAUCUGUCUGUGACAUCUGUCACCCCACUGAUCACCAGGGUUGAUUUCACUGGUUCAGUGGAGAUCCCCUUCCACUCUCACUGCUCUAUGCAUUUCCCUCCUCAAACUACACGUUUGAUUGAAAAGGAAGACUUUCCCCAAAUAAAGACAAACCAGUCUUUAGUUGAGGGUAUGUGAGUAGAUGUGUUCCUCUGCUAGAACCUCCAGACAAGUUCUCAAGGUAAAUUGUAUGACAGCUUAAAAGUCCCUUAAGAUCUACAUUUCUUUAAAUAAAUAAGGGAGUUUGAUAAUGCAAAUUUAGUAACAUGUCAAUACUU
rnacentral:snRNA from 1 species